UGACAGAGUGAGACAUUACAAAAACUUGAGUUUCCAACUCUUCUGAAGUUUUCAAGUUGAGGUUUCUGUGUAUAUAUAUGUGGUUGAGAAAUGACUAUGCUACUACCUGUUACAAUAAAAACAGACGCCAAAAAGAUGUGCAGUUGCAGAAACCUACUACAAGGAGAAAAGAAUAUUAAACAAACUUUACAACCAAUAUCCUCAUUCUCACACAAAAUUUGUAGGCUGCCGCUGCUCUCUGACACUCUCUUUUUCUUUUUUACAUAAUACUAUCUGCCUGGCCUUGGUCUUUUCAAGCCUUCGUACACAUCAUCAUCACUGUCAUAGUUUGUGGACUCUGAAGCUGGUCUUUUUAUCUUAUCAAAUAUUUCAUCCAGGGAUUCAGUUGAGGAAGCACGACUGUGUCCUGCAUCUUGAACUUGAUGUAAGGCCAUGAAUCCCUUUGAUUCCAUAUUAGACUUGAAGUUGCGGAAACCUGUUUGCAUUGAUCUCCAUGUCGAGGAUAAGUCUCUAGAAGGUUGAAUUUGCAAAUCCAUCAAGGAGUUCUCAUCCCGUGACAAAGGGCGCUCCCUGUUCCUUCCAUUUGAACUCAUGCUAUUUUCUCUCUUCAUCGAUCUUGAUCUUUUUGCCUUGUACUUCCCAUUGAUCUCUUCUUUGCUGCUCUCAUGUUGUGCCUCUCCUUUUAGAGGUUUUGAAUGGCUAACAUUAUCUUCUUCUCUUAGUCUUGUCGACAGUUUUGUUUCAGGGAGCAUAAUAUUGUUUCCAGUUUCAAGAUCCAAACUUGCAUUCUGGAAAUUCCUUGCCAAUGGAACAACAAGUUCACCAACUUUAUGUCCUUGUUCAAGCCAAGAACGUUCUUUUUGCAGAAUAAUGAGUCCUGAGGGAUCAAAUCCAUCCAAAUCAUCAGCCUCUUCACUCAGGAAUUUGAAAAUUUUCCAGUUCCCAAAAUAGCUAAGGACUCGAUCAAAAAAGUUGCUCGCAAUCAAUAAGGUGUAGAUG
rnacentral:misc_RNA from 1 species